rnacentral:rRNA from 1 species
UGGAAACAGAUGCUAAUACCGCAUAACAACUUGGACCGCAUGGUCCGAGUUUGAAAGAUGGCUUCGGCUAUCACUUUUGGAUGGUCCCGCGGCGUAUUAGCUAGAUGGUGAGGUAACGGCUCACCAUGGCAAUGAUACGUAGCCGACCUGAGAGGGUAAUCGGCCACAUUGGGACUGAGACACGGCCCAAACUCCUACGGGAGGCAGCAGUAGGGAAUCUUCCA